rnacentral:rRNA from 1 species
UACAGAGGUCCCAAGCGUUGUUCGGAUUCACUGGGCGUAAAGGGUGCGUAGGCGGUUGGGGAAGUCUGACGUGAAAUCUCCGGGCCUAACCCGGAAACUGCGUUGGAUACUAUCCGGCUAGAGGAAUGGAGGGGAGACUGGAAUACUUGGUGUAGCAGUGAAAUGCGUAGAUAUCAAGUGGAACACCAGUGGCGAAGGCGAGUCUCUGGACAUUUCCUGACGCUGAGGCACGAAAGCCAGGGGAGCAAACGGG